rnacentral:lncRNA from 1 species
UAGAAAUCUAUGAAAGAUUUCCACUAAUUUCUUACAAAUCUAUAAAAGAUUCAAGAAACCACAAAUGUCAUCACUUAAAAAAAAAUCCAUCAAGAUCUUUAGUUUCACAGGUUUUUGUUUGUCCUCCGCUGGGAUCAUAUGAAUCAAGAGAAUUUUCGAAGGCAAAGUAAGUUGGUCAAAACUCAAGCAAGGUCAAAAUCAAAUCCAGAAGUACAACUAAGGUGUUGGACUCCCAAUUUACUUCGGUUACAAUUAAACUACUUGUAUAAAGUAAUUUGACAAAAAUAAUUGACAAAGUAUGUUUUGACAAAAUUAAGGCCAAUGAAUUUUGUUGCUUUAAAAAACUAUUUUUGAAUUGAGUGAUCUUAAUUUUACCAACAAACACUUUGUCAAUCUUUUUUCUAAAACUACUUUAUGAGCAUAGCAUCACGCUUUCGGUAUUUAGAAUGCUAAAUAAACAGGGCCUGAUCUGAAUUCAGAUCUGGAGCUGAGGCUGUGUCACCUCAGCCCACUGUCACAGGGCCUGUCACUGUAGCCUCCCUCAUUUUUGCAUUUAUUUCUACUUUACAAUAGUAACAUUGGAAUGAAAAUAAAUUUUCAUGUCUCUUCAGCUCAGGUCUCCAGAGAUUUUCUUCAUGAUAUCAUCUCAGGAAAGGCGAAAGUUUUCUGAUCAUCCUUAGAGUCAUUCCAAAUUUUAAAACAUAUUAUCUACAUUAAGAACUAAAAUAAAUCAAGGUUAUUUAACAUAUUUCAAAAUAAUUUUAGGGGAUACUAUGCUAAGGGGUUUCCUCUUGUUCCUCUCAGACAAAUGCCUCGAAUUGACAUCACAGUUGUUAAGAAUGGAUUUCAAUCAGACUCGUCAUCUUGAAUUGUUCAUCACUGAGGAACAUAUUCAAAGAAAAUGUAUUUCUAAAGAUAAACGAAAAGGUGAAGCAACAAAAUAUCUAUUAUCAUACAAAAAUAAAAUUAGAAUCCCCCAAUUCAAAUAAAAAACUGCAGCUUUGAAACAUAUAAAUUGAAAACUAAGAAUGCUGAAAAAAACUGUAUUACUAACCUUUUUAAAUAAAGUAUCUGUCUCUUCAUGUCAUUCAAUAAAAUUUUCAGCAAGAAUAAUCUCAGAAGAACGAAAGAUAAUAUUAUUAUUAACAAUUUAAAUUGCUAAUAAAACAGAUUGCAUUUGGGAAGAAAACUUGCUUACUUAUACAUGGAUGCAAUAUAAUCAGUGAGAUUGCAUAAUUCUUGAAAAUGUCUGAAUUCAUAAUGUAACUUGAAUCAAAUAAAUAAGAUAAAUUUUUUUUUCCAUAUCUCAAGAAAUAUAGAUAUUAAAAUCCACAGUGAAAAUGAAUUUAAAUGAGAAGCCUCUUCAGUUCAGGUCUCCAUAAAUCUUCCACAUGGAAAUAUUUUCAGAAGAACGAAAGUAUAAUCGUUUAGUCAUCAUCAGAGGCCCAUUACGAAGAAUCAAACAAAAACACAAAGCAAAACCCUAUUUAAGCAAAUAAAUAUUAGCCAAAAAAAAAGAAAAAAAAGAAUAGAGAAUCCAGAUCCAGUACCAUCAAUACAUACGCAAGAUCAGGACUCUUAUAAGAAUCAAAAGACUAGGAAAAAAAAAAAAGAAAAUUAAUUUUGUCUCUUCAGUUCAGGUCUCCAAAAUUAUUCAGCACUGAAAACUUCUCAGGAGAUAAAAGGUCAUUUGUAAAACAAAUUCAUCAUCAUAGAGACAAAUCAUAUGCUACAAUUCAAAUUAAUAAAUACUGAUCGGAAAGUUAAUCCCUUACCGCAUGCCGGCGCCUGCUAGCAAGAAUUGCUGCGUGCGGUGUGCUUGUAUAUAUAGUGGAAAGUGAAGCGGCGUUGAGG